UGGGGAAUAUUGCACAAUGGGCGCACGCCUGAUGCAGCCAUGCCGCGUGUAUGAAGAAGGCCUUCGGGUUGUAAAGCACUUUCAGCGGGGAGGAAGGCGUUAAGGUUAAUAACCUUGGCGAUUGACGUUACCCGCAGAAGAAGCACCGGCUAACUCCGUGCCAGCAGCCGCGGUAAUACGGAGGGUGCAAGCGUUAAUCGGAAUUACGGGGCGUAAAGAGCACGCAGGCGGUCUGUCAAGUCGGAUGUGAAAUCCCCGGGCUCAACCUGGGAGCUGCAUUAGAAACUGGCAGAGUAGAGUCUUGUAGAGGGGGGGAGAAUUCCAGGAGGAGCGGUGAAAUGCGUAGAGAUCUGGAGGAAUACCGGUGGCGAAGGCGGCCCCCUGGGGGAAGAAUGCCGCUCAGGUGCGAAAGCGUGGGGGGCAAAAAGG
rnacentral:rRNA from 1 species